rnacentral:rRNA from 1 species
AGCGAACGCUGGCGGCAGGCUUAACACAUGCGAGUCGAGCGGGCACCUUCGGGUGUCAGCGGCAGACGGGUGAGUAACACGUGGGAACGUACUCUUCGGUUCGGAAUAACGCUGGGAAACUAGCGCUAAUACCGGAUACGCCCUUAUGGGGAAAGGUUUACUGCCGAAGGAUCGGCCCGCGUCUGAUUAGCUAGUUGGUGGGGUAACGGCCUACCAAGGCGACGAUCAGUAGCUGGUCUGAGAGGAUGAUCAGCCACACUGGGACUGAGACACGGCCCAGACUCCUACGGGAGGCAGCAGUGGGGAAUAUUGGACAAUGGGCGCAAGCCUGAUCCAGCCAUGCCGCGUGAGUGAUGAAGGCCUUAGGGUUGUAAAGCUCUUUUGUCCGGGACGAUAAUGACGGUACCGGAAGAAUAAGCCCCGGCUAACUUCGUG